AGAGUUUGAUCAUGGCUCAGAUUGAACGCUGGCGGAAUGCUUUACACAUGCAAGUCGAACGGCAGCACGGGGGCAACCCUGGUGGCGAGUGGCGAACGGGUGAGUAAUACAUCGGAACGUGCCCAGUCGUGGGGGAUAACGUAGCGAAAGCUACGCUAAUACCGCAUACGAUCUAUGGAUGAAAGCGGGGGACCGUAAGGCCUCGCGCGAUUGGAGCGGCCGAUGGCAGAUUAGGUAGUUGGUGGGGUAAAGGCUCACCAAGCCUGCGAUCUGUAGCUGGUCUGAGAGGACGACCAGCCACACUGGGACUGAGACACGGCCCAGACUCCUACGGGAGGCAGCAGUGGAGAAUUUUGGACAAUGGGCGCAAGCCUGAUCCAGCCAUUCCGCGUGCAGGAUGAAGGCCUUCGGGUUGUAAACUGCUUUUGUACGGAACGAAAAGGCUCUUUCUAAUACAGAGGGCUCAUGACGGUACCGUAAGAAUAAGCACCGGCUAACUACGUGCCAGCAGCCGCGGUAAUACGUAGGGUGCAAGCGUUAAUCGGAAUUACUGGGCGUAAAGCGUGCGCAGGCGGUGAUGUAAGACAGAUGUGAAAUCCCCGGGCUCAACCUGGGAACUGCAUUUGUGACUGCAUCGCUGGAGUGCGGCAGAGGGGGAUGGAAUUCCGCGUGUAGCAGUGAAAUGCGUAGAUAUGCGGAGGAACACCGAUGGCGAAGGCAAUCCCCUGGGCCUGCACUGACGCUCAUGCACGAAAGCGUGGGGAGCAAACAGGAUUAGAUACCCCGGUAGUCC
rnacentral:rRNA from 1 species